CCCGGCGCCAGGCGGCCACGCGGGCCGGCAUCUCCGCCAGGCUGCGGGCCACCAGCUCCUGCCUGCGGCACGGCGGGCGUCGGGGACGGCCGGGACACCGGGCACGGCCCGGGACACCGGGAGCCCAGACGGGGACAGCGGGAACCCGGCCCGGGACAGCGGGAACCCACCCCGGGACAGCAGGAGCCCAGCCCGGGACAGCGGGAACCCGGCCUGGGACAGCGGGAACCCGGCCCGGGACACCGGGAGCCCGGCCCGGGACACCGGGAACCCGGCCCGGGACAGCGGGAGCCCAGAUAGGGACAGCGGGAACCCAGCCCGGGACACCGGGAACCCGGCCACGGGACACCGGGAACCCGGCCACGGGACACCGGGAGCCUGGCCACGGGACAGCGGGAACCCGGAUGGGGACACUGGGAGCCCAGACGGGGACACCGGGAGCCCAGCCCCAAACCCAGCCCGGUCCUCCCGGUACUGCCAGGCGAUCCUCGCCAGGCUUAAGGGGCCCGGUGCUCCCGGUCCUGUCCCAGUUCAUCCCAGUCCCAUUCCCGGUGCUCCCAGUCCCGUCCCAUUCAUCCCAGUCCCAUUCCCGGUGCUCCCAGUCCCGUCCCAGUUCAUCCCAGCCCUGUCCCAGGGCUCCCAGUUCAUCCCAGCCCUGUCCCAGGGCUCCCAGUUCAUCCCAGUCCCACUCCCGGUGCUCCCAGUCCAUUCCUGGUGCUCCCAGUUCAUCCCAGUCCCACUCCCGCUGCUCCCAGUCCAUUCCCGGUGCUCCAGCCCCACCUCUCCUUUCUCCGCCGCGCCUCCUCCCGCUCCCGC
rnacentral:lncRNA from 1 species